CAAGCUCUUCUGGAUGGUGCAGUUCUUUGGUGCUUAAAGAAUGGUUGUCCGUAGUAUGGUCUCUAUAUUCAUGGUGAUUAAUAUCGGACAACCAUUGUUUUAGUAUCCAACUUUGCUUCAAAAGUUCUCCCAAGCACGC